AUUGAACGCUGGCGGCAGGCUUAACACAUGCAAGUCGAGCGGGGGAAGGUGCUUCGGUACUGACCUUAGCGGCGGACGGGUGAGUAAUGCUUAGGAAUCUGCCUAUUAGUGGGGGACAACAUCUCGAAAGGGAUGCUAAUACCGCAUCCGUCCUACGGGAGAAAGCAGGGGAUCACUUGUGACCUUGCGCUAAUAGAUGAGCCUAGGUCGGAUUAGCUAGUUGGUGGGGUAAAGGCCUACUAAGGCGACGAUCUGUAGCGGGUCUGAGAGGAUGAUCCGCCACACUGGGACUGAGACACGGCCCAGACUCCUACGGGAGGCAGCAGUGGGGAAUAUUGGACAAUGGGGGGAACCCUGAUCCAGCCAUGCCGCGUGUGUGAAGAAGGCCUUAUGGUUGUAAAGCACUUUAAGCGAGGAGGAGGCUCUUUUGGUUAAUACCCAAGAUGAGUGGACGUUACUCGCAGAAUAAGCACCGGCUAACUCUGUGCCAGCCGCCGCGGUAAAAC
rnacentral:rRNA from 1 species